rnacentral:rRNA from 1 species
AUUGAACGCUGGCGGCAUGCCUUACACAUGCGAGUCGAACGGUAACAGGUUAAGCUGCCGAGUGGCGAACGGGUGAGUAAUACAUCGGAACGUGCCCAGUAGUGGGGGAUAGCCCGGCGAAAGCCGGAUUAAUACCGCAUACGACCUAAGGGUGAAAGGGGGGGAUCGCAAGACCUCUCGCUAUUGGAGCGGCCGAUGUCAGAUUAGCUAGUUGGUGGGGUAAAAGCUCACCAAGGCGACGAUCUGUAGCUGGUCUGAGAGGACGACCAGCCACACUGGGACUGAGACACGGCCCAGACUCCUACGGGAGGCAGCAGUGGGGAAUUUUGGACAAUGGGCGCAAGCCUGAUCCAGCCAUGCCGCGUGCGGGAAGAAGGCCUUCGGGUUGUAAAACGCUUUUGUCAGGGAAGAAAUCCUUUGGGUUAAUACCUCGGGGGGAUGACGGUACCUGAAGAAUAAGCACCGGCUAACUACGUG